UCCUCUCAAACACACAUUUAUUAGUAGCCACAAAACAUAACCUUAGAUCUGGAAAAAAAAAAAAAAACUCAGAUCUAAAACGCAACUCCAACAUUUGUACGUUCUUGAAGGAUUUCAUCUUCGCCACACUCAAGUCACAAACAAAAUGCGUCAUCAACCUCAUCUAAAAAAGAAAAAAAAAAAAAAGCAAUCCCAGAUUUGGAACACAUCACCAUGCUCAGAUCUAAAACAAAAUAAGAAACUCAUAUAUAAAAUGCAACCUCAACAUUUAGCGCGUUCGUAGAGGAAUUAUUCAUUGUGGAGCUUAAUGCGCGAAAGGAACCAUGAUGGUUGCCACGUUGAGAGGAUGAGACUCCAUUGUCAGCAUUCAUAAUCUUCUUUGCGCAGGCAGAAAGAAAUUUUUUUUUUUUUAAAUUUGAUCAAAUGUGUGCACUUUCACGAUAGUUCUCAUAUUUUUUUGUUUCACAUGAUGCGUGAGAAGUUUGGAUUACACACUCUAGACCUCGUCUUGAUUAAAAAACAAUUCAUAUCCAAUGAUUACA
rnacentral:lncRNA from 1 species